AUGCAUAUGUCUGCAAGGUGCUGAACAUUGAAAGGUCCCUCUGCGCCCCGUACCACCCCCAGACCAAUGGACUCGUGGAAAGAAUGAAUGGAACGAUCCAGGGAGCUCUCUGCAAACUGGUGAAAUACCAGCCAAAAGACUGGGACAGGCACCUGGACACAAUCAUGUUUGGUUUACGAAAAAAAGUUAAAAUGACAACCAAAUACUCGCCAUUUUUUUAAUGUUUGGGAGAGAGGCAUGUUAUCCCUCUCAUAUAGCAGAGCACUACAGGACUGACAAGACUGUGGAGGACACGGUGUCCAUUGAGGAGGUUACAGAGUCCACUCUUAAUUUAAGUAAAAUUAAUGGACGUAAAGGGGAACAUUAGAAAAAGCCAUGGAACUGUAAAAAAAGACUGAAGCAACCCUUUACAACUUUCAAAGUUGGGGACAAUGUGUGGAGGAGAAACAUCAGAGCCGAACAACGUAAAGGGGACAAACUUGAAUCCAACUACCUUUUUUUACUGUACUGCUUUAACUGCUUUAAUACUGCUCUGACUGGAAGAGAUUUUGAUGGAGAGCGGGAGAGUCUUCACUCCAAUGAGGCGAGUGAAGAAGUAAAUUACUUAUUAUACUGCUGAGAGUAUAAGAAGUCGCUGAGAGCGUCAUUAAGGGUAAUGGCAGCAGAAACGUGCUCUGUGGGGGCCCCGCUGGGCAUUACUGGUGUAGCACCACUCCAGCAGAGUACGUCCCUGGGCUGGAGGCCCAGUUGCACCGUAAACCAGCUCAAUCUCUUCCAUCUCAUAUAGGGGUAUACUGGAAGAGAUUUUGAUGGAGAGCGGGAGUCUUCACUCCGAUGAGGCGAGUGAAGAAGUAAGUUACUUAUA